CGUUUUCCAAAUUAAUUGAGAAACCCUAACCCUGAAUCCCUUAACCCAUCCACCGAAACCCCUUCCCCAAACCCAGCAGCCUAGACGCACACUGAAGAAACGGAAAAGAGAGAGAGAGAGAGAGACCGAGAGAGGAAGCCCGUGAAGUCGCCGCUGAGCCACCGCCGCUGUGUCCUACCUGCGCCGCCGUUCACGCUUGUCGCCGUCCAGCCGUUGGUGCGAGCUCGUUGCCGUCGAGGAGAAGCUGCCGUCGCGUUCUGAUCGUCGUCGCGCUCUGCUGCCACGAGGUCGCCGUCGUCGUUGCUUCGAAGGGAGCCGUAGUCAUCGCCGUCAUAGUCGCCGUCGAGCAUGAAGGGUGGAGGAGAGAGAGCUCGCGUCCGAGGCUGAAGAGGAGAUGCUGUCUGCGCUGCUGCCAGGGCCCGUCGCCAUCACCGUCGCACACAUGAGAGGGGGAAAACGAGCAGAACGCGAGGAAGAGGAGGAGUUCUCGUCACUGUUGUGUGCCCAGUCAUCACUGCUGCUUCCAAUCCCGCCGUUGAUGCUGUUGCGACUAUCACCAUUGAAGCUCGCCAAAUCUGCUCCUACUUCUGGAUUCUGGAAUCUGAGAAAACGCCACUGCCGCUGCUGUUUGUUGGGUUCAAGAUCGCUGCUGCUGUUCUUGCUCUGUUCUGCCUCUGCUUCUAGUUUUGUAGUUGCUGGAGCCUUUGCCGCCGGGAACCAAUGUUGGAGCUGCUCUUGAUGAUUCUGAUGCUGCUACGUAGGUUCCGAGCUGCUGUGUUGUUGCAAGAGGAAGGGAACUCAUAGGAAAAAUGUCACCGAGGCUGCUGUUUGGUUUGAUUGCGUUGUUAAUACGACACUGAGUGACACAGGUUCGAAGACUCGGUUUGAAGCUGCAGGCGAUUAUAAAACUUAUUUAUGAGUUAAGUUUAUAAGUUGCGUUGUUUUCAUAGAGUUCCCUCGCCCUUGUUACUUUAGUUUUUAUUUUAUACAGAGGGAUAUGAGUUGUACCUGAGUUUCAUUUGAAUUCUUUUGUAUAAUAUUUAUUAUUAUUAAUAACUAUGUGAUUAUUACUGCUUGUUGAUCUUUGACAUGAUUUUAAUAAACAAAAACAAAAUUUUCUGGCUUUUUAUUAAAAACUGAAAUGCAAUAUCGAACUAAAGGCUCAAUAUUAAAUAGUUAAUAAAGAAAACAGGUUAGUAACGCCUUACUUUUGGUACGAUCAUGACGUACUGGAAGUUGGGUCGUUACAGUUUGUAUCCAAGCUUAUGGUAAGUAACUGAACAUUGGAUUGACUUUGCACAUGCUCGUGUUAGCUUGAUUAACUUUUACCAUUUGGAAAGCUAUAGCAUUUGAAACUGUUAAAAAUUGUUUAGUUGGUGAAGAAUUUCUUGAAGUAACAUCACAAGCACAAAAGAUAUUCCACUGAUGGGAGCAGAAUUUUGGGACUCGGAGUUUGGAGUUCAUGGAAAUGGCAAUCCAUUGGGAAGCUUGAUCUGUAUAUUACAGCUGCUGGGAUAAAUCCUAAAGGUUCGUGCCCUGGGAUGAUUCCGUCGCUGUGAAUGACAUUGUAGCUGGUCUGAAAGGAUUCAGAGAUGAUGAUGUGAAGCCAUUUUCUUCUGGUUUGAAUGCAGCUGAGACUCAGCUUUCCAAAUGGUAAAAGUUAAUCAAACUAACACGUGCAAAGUCGAUCC